rnacentral:tRNA from 1 species
GGCACUGUAGCUCAGCCUGGUAGAGCAAGCGGUUCAUACCCGCUCUGUCACUGGUUCAAAUCCAGUCAGUGCCA